UUUCUUUUUAUUUAGUUUCACCUGAUGAGAAGUUUGAAUCACAGACUCUUGACAUUUUAAAAUUUAUUAUUUGUUUGUGUAAUUGUGCAAAGGUUUCAAUGAGACCGGCUUAUCGUUCUUCCAAGAAAGUAAAGGACUAUAUAUGACAAGCUUGAAGAUGAAGUGAAGAAGAAUAGAAUGAUGAUAAGCUUGAAGGAGACGCUGCUUUGAACAAGUUCUUCAGUGAGAUAUAUUUGAAUUCUGAUGAGGAUAUGAGGAGUGCUAGAGCAAAUCAUUUGUGAGUAUCUAUCUAUCUAUAUUCCUAUUUAGUCUUUCUUCUCUCAUGGAAAUUACAAUGUUUUUGGCAUUUUGAUUGACUCUUUUGUAGUUUUGCACAAUCAACAGGUGGAAUCUAAUGGGACAGUGCUUUCAAUAGACUGGAAAGAUGUUGGUGCUAAGAAAAUCGAGUGCACUCUUCAUGAUGAUCUAGCGCUCAAGACAUGGGAAAUAUGAUCUUAUAUGAUGUGUGAGUUUUACCUUAAUCUAGACAGAACUCGAAGCCUUGGUCUUAAGGUCUGGUUUCUCUACUUUAUGGACUUAAGGUACUUUGUAUUUUCCAUAACUCAUAUUGUUUAUACGAAACACUGAAAUUUUUAAUCUAAACGUUCUAAUGUAUUCUUUGUUCAUAUGAAUAUAGUAUAAAUAUCAAUAUGUAACAUCGAAUCUUUCAUAUUAACCACAUACAUGUAACAUAAGUAUUAUAUAGUUGUAGAUAUGUAAUUAUUAAUUUAAUAUUAAUGUUAAUGCCCGCACGCAUGUGCGGGCGGUCCACCUAGUUACAAGUAAAAUAUGUGUCAUUUUCGGUAAUUUCUCUUUCCUAAAUAAACUUAAAGGGAAAGGCUCCAGAAUGCACCACCUCAGCCUUCCCUAGCUAAAAUCGUGACACGUGUCGCAUUUUAACACCCAUUAGUUUCAUCCGUUUGUUUUCGAUAAGUGUGUUGUUCCGUCCUUUUUCUUAUUUUAAUGUUUUCCUGGGCUUUGGCUCUGGGUUCUGAACUGUUCUAUUAAUCUUUUGUUAUUUGGCCCAUUUAAAUUUAGGGGUUCUGGUUCUCUGUGUUUUACCGUCGUCGUCCUCUCCUCAUCCAUCCUCUUCCUCUUCCAGAGUCUGGUACACUAGCUCCAUAACGUCUCCGUUUCUUUCUUUAUUUUCAUCAAUUACUUCUCACCCACUAAUCAUCCCACUAUGUAUGAAUUAAAGAUCGUCAUUAUCAUGAUGACGAUCAUCCCACACGUAUCGAGAACGUUUCGUUGAAGGAUCUGUGUACUCGCUAAGUGGUUUUGACGUUACACGGAGCGACAACAAGUUACAACACGUUUCCUCUCUCUGAUGCCCAUGUCUCCAUUCGAUUUACCGAUGGUACAACAUUUGAGGAGCUAACAGAUUCUGAUAAGUCGAUACCAACUGAGAUGUUUCGAUUCCGCAACUACGACCAGUUACUGGCGCUGGCAAAUACCAAUAGACACCUACCACGUAUGCUUUUGAUAUUCUACAUCUGGCGGCUUCCUAAAAUGUGAUCAUAUUAUUCAUUGAACUUGUCUUGAAAACUUACAAGAUAUUCUUGGUGAGUUAACUGCUAUCAGGAGCACAAUCAAUGAUGGAGCACAUGGUUCUCAGCGUGUCAUGCUUACACUACGUAUAGAAAGAAGUUACGAUGUAGACUAUAUUGAACGCAGUCACAUGGUCGGUGGGAUAUAUGUCGUCGGAAUAGGAUAGGAUGCGAAGUUUGUAUGUUUGACGGAUUUUGAUGUCAGUGAUCCUCUUCGACAAAGGGAACAUUAGGGUUGUGGCGAAGAUGCGCUUAAUCUAUGGGGCCAAGCCCGUUCUUUGGUAGUUAAUGACUUGCAUCGAGAUAUGGAGAUAGGCGAUUUGUUGACUUGUCGUCAACUCUCCGCCACCAGUCGUAGGGUUUUCUGUGUGAAGAGUUGUCUUCUAAUCGUCGCAUGACCGCUCGCCAGAUAGGGGCCUGAUGACGGCGGUUUGCUCGGCGAGACUAUCAUGAUCGUUCGUCUCCUUAUGAGCUCUCGAGGCAAGCUUUUGGGCUAAGCUUUCGGGCCAACUCUUGGGCCGAGCUCAUGGACCGAACUCUCUUAUUCAUUAAUGGACUUUGUUGAAAGAUGCGCUAUAUUGUAAAGGGAUGCAAUCUAUCUCUAACACGUGUACGUGUGAACUUUCCAAAUCAUAGACUUUGAUUUUAGUCUUGAA